UGGAAUAAAGCAUUAUAGAUGCCUUUCACUUACACUGAAAACAAAACGUCAAGACGUUUAUUCCAA
rnacentral:tRNA from 1 species